AUACUUACCUGGACGGGGUUAAUGGGCGAUCAAGAAGGCUCAUGGCCUAGAUUAGUGGCCUCCAUUGCACUUAGGAGGAACGCUCGUCUACCAUCUCCCCAAGUGGGAGAGUGGACGUCAUAAUUUGUGGCAGAGGGGGUACGCGUUCGCGCGGCCCCUA
rfam:Oryza sativa (indica cultivar-group) chromosome 1, whole genome shotgun sequence.